rnacentral:lncRNA from 1 species
GUUUCCAGGAACUGGGCGUGGUUCCUUCAAAGUUGUCCAAAACUGUGUUCACAGCCACUGACUAGAUCUUGGGAAGAUUUGUUACACUGCAACAGAUAACUGAGCUAUUUAAGUCACCGACUGUGUAAGAACGCAGAAUGAUGUAGAUUUUAAAUGAAUAAAUGUGAUAAUUAUGUCUCACUCUAAACUUUGGUCCUCCUUAAAUAUUUUUGUAUAUCAAAUAAUGAUAUGGCAACUAGAUUUAAAGUCACACAGAGUCAUUGCUGUAUUAAUUAUGCUUUAGGUUUCCUAGCUUCUCUAAUAAUGUGGUUUUUCAUAAAGUGAUACUUUAAGCCAUUUAUAGAUCUUGGCAGGCAAAGAGAUAGCAGAUGUCAUGCCUGUGAUGAAAAUACCCAUAAUAUGCCUGUUGUCAUAAGAGGAUAUUUAAAAAAUCUUAAAGCGGAAGUUUAGAAUUGUAGAAGCUUAUCAGGCAUAGAAAUACAGAUAUUUUUAAACAAAUAUUUUUUAAAGAUCUCUGAAUAGUUUUAACAGUGCUCAGAUUUUAAUGGCAAAAAUUAGAUGAUGAGGUUCAACAUGCUCUAAAAACAUAAAUCUUUCUUUUGGAAGAGACAAGGUUUGAAUUUGGCAGUAAUGGUUUAUCAGGAAUAUGUCUGGUGAUCAGAAACCUAAGACAUGCCUCUAAAAGCUGUGUCAGCCAGUCUUAGUACCAGUCUUGAUGCCAUCACAUUGGCUUCUGUGUGUGAAACUGUUAUGAAAAAAACCUACAUUCUUUGUCUUAUUCCCCAAGGAAGUAUAGUCCAGGCUCAAGUUCUUAUUCUCUUACUUCAAAAUUUUCAAAUUAUCCCUAGCUUUUUAGUUAUAUUUUAGCCAUUUGAAUCAUGCAAAAAGUUAAUCAGGGGCUUUAAAUACUUAGUUGGUGUUAACAUAUCUUUAUAUACAAACUGACAUUAAAUUAUGGAACUUACCCAGCUCUAUCACACUGAUUUAACUUAAUUUCAUUUUUUCUAAGUAUAGCUUGGCUGGUGAAGCCAGGGAGGGGCUAACAGGCUUAGAGUGUGUGUACAGUAUUUCUAGAAUGAACUGUGCACCCCCAGCUCUUAGUGACCCAUAUAAAUGAAGGGAUCAGAUCUCUACUAUUCAGGAGACCUUCUUACAGUUUCAGAAUUCCUUGAGAGUGGGAACAUUUUAAUAAUUUGGACUUGAGAGAUAGAAUGGCUGUUUGCAAGGAAGAGCCAUGUGAAUGAAAGUCUGUUAGCAAGAAUGCUGGGUACAGAGUAGAGAAGCUUCAAAAUGACAUCCCAAGUACACGUGAGUGAAUCUGGCUGUACACAAACUAAGUGCUAGAGCCAAGGAUUUCCAGAGGCUGACAUCAGGAGCUUCAUCACUAAGCAGU